rnacentral:rRNA from 1 species
AUUGAACGCUGGCGGCAGGCCUAACACAUGCAAGUCGAACGAGUGGCGGACGGGUGAGUAAUGUCUGGGAAACUGCCUGAUGGAGGGGGAUAACUUCUGGAAACGGUAGCUAAUACCGCAUACCAUUGGAUGUACCCAGAUGGGAUUAGCUAGUAGGUGGGGUAACGGCUCACCUAGGCGACGAUCCCUAGCUGGUCUGAGAGGAUGACCAGCGACACUGGAACUGAGACACGGGCCAGACGCCUACUGGAGGCAGCGUGGGGGAAUAGGGGACAAGGGGCGAAAGGCUGAUGCCGCCAUGCCGCGUGUAUGGAGGAGGCCUUCGGGUUUUAGAGUACAUUCAGCGGGGAGGCGUUACCCGCAGAAGAAGCACCGGCUAACUCCGUGCCAGCCGCCGCGGUAAUAC